rnacentral:rRNA from 1 species
UACGGAGGGUGCAAGCGUUGUUCGGAAUCACUGGGCGUAAAGGGCGUGUAGGCGGUCUGUUAAGUCUGAUGUGAAAGCCCGGGGCUCACCCCCGGAAGUGCAUUGGAUACUGGCGGACUCGAGUCUCGGAGAGGAGGGUGGAAUUCCAGGUGUAGCGGUGAAAUGCGUAGAUAUCUGGAGGAACACCGGUGGCGAAGGCGGCAUCCUGGACCAACACUGACGCUGAGUGAGCGAAAGCCAGGGGAGCAAACGGG